UUUGAGUCUCAUAAUUGACCUUUCAUCAUUAAAGAAGGGGGGGGGGUGCACACUGAAGACAAAUUACCAAAGAACAAAUGUGAGGCUGUUGGCUUUGGCUUUACGUGCGCGUGCGCGCACACACACACAGACACACAGACCCUUACACAUUUGUCAGUAGGCAGCCUUCAGCAGACAACAUCUGCAAGAUGAGUCGGUUUUCGGUGACUUUAAUCUGGCUGUUGGCUGGAGGCCAUCCUCGGAUUCUAGAAGCUGCUGGCUGUACGUCAUCAUGUGGGCCUUCCCAACAUGGCUGCUCACUCCAUCAAACCUACAGGAGAGUUUCUUUCUUUCUUUUUUUUUUUUUUUAAGAUUUUUAUUUAUUUAUCUGACAGAGAGAGACAGCCAGCAAGAGAGGGAACACAAGCAGGGGGAGUGGGAGAGGAAGAAGCAGGCUCCUAGCGGAGGAGCCUGAUGUGGGGCUUGAUCCCACAACGCGGGGAUCACGCCCUGAGCCGAAGGCAGACGCUUAAUGACUGAGCCACCCAGGCGCCCCUACAGGAGAGUUUCUAGUCCAAUUGGCUAAGAGAGUUUUGUAGGACAUAAUGUAACCACAGGAGUGACAUCUAUCCCCUUUGCCAUAUUCUCUUGGUUAGAAGGAGAUCGUGGGUCCUGCCCACAAGAAAAGGGGAACCCUUCCUCAAGGGGAAGGGGUUAUACAAGAGCAGGAGCACCAGGAGGUUGGGUCUAGAGUCUGAGUGCCACAGGUGUCCAUAGCAUCAUCCGCAUGCCCGAAGAGGGACGCAUCACCUCCUGACCACCCAGCUCUUCUUCCGUCUUUGCUGCGGUAGGCGAUGCACCACCCCCAAACCAGAGUUCAACAAGUCAUCCUUGAUUACUCCUCUUAACCACCGCCCUCAAACAACCAGUCCCCAAGCCCUAUGGAUUUGCCUCCUAAACCCUAUUUGAUCCCUUCAUUCUCUCUACCAUUUUAACUACACAAGCCUCCUGCUUUCUUUCUUUCUUUCUUUUUUUUUAAAGAUUUAAUUUAUUUGACAGAGACAGCCAGCGAGAGAGGGGAACACAAGCAGGGGGAGUGGGAGAGGAAGAAGCAGGCUUCCAGCAGAGGAGCCUGAUGCGGGGCUCGAUCCCAGAACACCAGGAUCACGCCCUGAGCCGAAGGCAGAUGCUUAACGACUGCGCCACCCAGGCGCCCCUAGCCUCCUGCUUUCUUACCACUCUCAUCUCUCUACGGCAGGCAGUGAUAUUUCUAAAGUGCAAUUCUGGUUACAUUGUACCCCACUGAAGACCCCUAAUAACUUUCCAUUGACCUCAGGAUGAGGCCCCGAUUCUUUAGCGGGGCCCAUCAGACCCUUUGCCAUUCGGCUUCCCUCCCUUCUCUAACUUCUCCCCCUUCUGGCCUGAGUACUCUCUGUCCCUUUUGCCUGGAACACUCAUUCCUUGCUAGUCUAGUCCUAUGCCUCAGUCAAUAGCUUCCACGUCAUUUCCUUUGGGAGGCCUUUCCUGACUGCUCUACUCGUUAGUCUGCCCCGUCCCCUCACUUUCCAUGCUCAGCACCCUGGCUGCCAUGUUCCCCGCGCUCAGGACACAGAAUGGAGAAUGUCCUCAAUCUCCAAUAAACUGUAAGCUCUGUGUGGCUGGGUACAUCCUCUGCAGCUAGCCACCAUGCUUUCCACGCCGGAAGUCUUGAAAUAAUUGUCAAGUGAGUAACAUGAUAAAUGGAGACUUGGAUCGCAGCCCACCCUUAAAAAUAUUCCCACCCUUCCCUCAUGGCAACAUCUAGCUUUCACUCUUGAUGGGCUCUGUUCCAGUUGGCAGAACAUUUUAAAUCGAAAGUCAUAUAUUAAUAGAGGCACCUUUGUUUCGGGUAAUAUUUCUUUCCUAUUAUGGCCAGUCCGGUCUCAAGACAUUUCCUUGCUACUGAUGUACUCCAGUGACACGAGUGCUGGAAUAUCACCUAUUUCCUUUUUAUGUGAUGUUUGUCCUUUUGCUGCGUAAUUGGAAUUUUGUAAAAAUAGCUGACCAAUUGCAGUACAUAUAAUUCCAGAAACGCGCUGGGAACAGGCCCCUCUGUCCACCCUGUGGAGGGGCCCACACCUGCUCCCGGGACAUUCCAGGAGACGCCCUCGUCCACUGAGAACAGAAGGAGCAUUUGCUCCCGGAGCCCACUUCGGAGGACAGCUGAGGCGGGACCCAAUCCGGCCAGGUCGGUCUGUUCCUGGGCACCGGCUCUGUUUUCACACAAGUGAUUGAGCUUCCCUGACAGGGGUGGCCCUAGCACACAGAGAUGCUGGAAGCCCAAACGAAGACUUUUUGGACCACCCAUUGGCCUGCGAACCCCAUGGAAUGGGCAGGGCACCGAGUGUGCCUAAAGCAGAGGCCUUUCUAGAAAUGACAGAAGAGGCACUAUCGUGGAAAGAACGGUCUGCUGGGCCUGGCUCUGUCUUCUAUAAGCUCUGCGAGCUCCAGACAGCGUCUCUAAGCUUGGGCUGGGGGCAGUGAGUGAAUGGCGGAGGCCCGAACUGGACCCUGCUGGGCUCCCGCACCGGCUCGGCCGCUUCGCAGCCUGUGCUCUUGGUUGUUCACGUGGUCCAUCUGGGCUCCGGGUUCUUCCUCUGGAAACGAGCACAAAACCAGGGCUGUCCUCAAGGGGCCGUGAGGGUUAAACAAGUUCAUGUAUUUAACAGGCUUGGUCUGAAGGAAGCUCUCAGUAAGUGUUAACCUGUUAUUAUCUAUCAAAUGGUGGCCCUUUCUAUUUUAUAUGCUUAUUGUAGGGACAAGGAGAUAAUGCACGUGAAAGUGCUUUGUAGAAUUUUCUGCACUGUGCGAAUGUUUGGUAGUGUUGUUAUUAAAUAUCGAGUGUAAGGUACAUUAAGGGAUGAGGAUUAAUAGCUUUAGCGUAUAGUCAGCCAGACAAGGAGACUACCAUGGCGGGGGCGCGGGGGUGGGGAUGCUAGAGAGAGGGGCCAGGGAGAGGAGGAGUAGAAAAGUACAGGCAUACUUUGCAGGUACCUUGGGCUGGUUCCAAACUACUGCAAUAAAGCAAAUGUGGCAACAAAGUGACUGUCACAAUAAAGCAAGUUAAAUAAAUAUUUUGGUUUCCCAGUACUUCUAAAAGUUAUGUUUACACUAUACUGCAGUCAAUUACGUUUGUUAUUAGGUAAUAACGUAUGUCUAAAAAAACAGUGUACAUAGCGUAAGAAUAUUGCUAAAAACGCUAACCAUCAUCUGAGCUUUCAGCGAGUUGCAAUCACCGAUCACAGAUCGGCAUCAUAUCAUAAUAAUGGAAAAAUUUGAAAUAUUGUAAGAAUUAACAAAAUAUGACACAGAGACAGGAAGUGAGCAAAUGCUGUUGGAAAGAUGAUGCUGGUAGGCAUGCUCGACCCAGGGCUGCCACAAACCUUCAGUGUGUGAAAAAACGCAAUAUUUAUGAAGCACAGUAAAGCGAAAUGUAAUAAAACAAGGUAUGCCUGGUAACUGUGAUACAGAUAGAAUAAAGGAAGUCGCACAAAAGAAUUCUAACACCGCGUUCUGGGGUCCAGUAGGAAAAGGGUUUGGAAAAGGCUUAAUUAAAGGACUAAAUUUUGAAAAGGAUGUGAAAAUCCAUGCAUUCAAGGCAUGUUGAAUCUCUACCCUUUGGCAGUCAUCGUGAUGGAUGCUGGGGAUACAGCGAUGACAAAGAUAUAUUGUGGCAUCCACGACGUGGUCUUUGGGAUGAGAUUUCAACUGGGAUCAGGUAGGAAGGACAUUUUAAGAGGAGGAAAUCGGGUGAGCAAAGGCAUAGAGAUAAAACAAAAGAGAAGCAGGCUAUGUAAAGCAUCCAGGAGUCCGGUCUGUGGCUGGUAUGAAGUUUGUAGGAGGAUGAAUCCAGAAAAGGAGUUUGGGGCCAUAUUUGCGCAGUUUUGAAUGAUAGUAUGUAAUUAAUUUGAAAGGCAAAGGUGAGCCGUUGAAGGGCAAUAAUAUGAUUGCAGCCACAUAAAGGCCACGCUCAACUACAAAUUCACAUUAAUGCAACUUAUUGUAGCUCUUUUAGAGAUCAUGUCCUAAAUAUAGAUGAUAGUCUAUCCCAGAAAACACUUACUCAAAACAUUUUCAGGGCAUGAACGUGUAUAUUCGAAGUGCUGGAGAGUAACAUGAAGCCAACUGCAAUAAACCAGUAAUACCUUGCACUUUUCACGGAUUUAGUGUAGCGCGUGCGCACGCAUGCGCGUGUAGACUAUAUUUUAAAGUAAGUCAGUUUUCCAUUUUGGGGUAUUUACAAGUGUCAUUUUCUCUUUCAGCUCCAAAGUUUAGUGUGUCAAUAUAUAAAAUUCAAGAAUAAAUGUAUAUGGCAGGGUAAUUGUUCAAGAAUUAAAAUAUAUGCCAACAGAACAUUGGCAGGCUUUAUUUCAUGACAUUUGGGGCUCUUUUCUUUGCACUGUUUCUUUGCAGUGAAAGAGGUAGAUUGAAGAUCGUUGCAAAUCAAAGUGAUGCUUUCAACUUUUGAAAUGAACGCCAGCUUGUCUUUUUCCACUUUUCAUACAUUUGCAUAGAUCUGUCAACCGAAUUUUGAAUUCUUCUAAGGGUAAUCUUUAAUACAAAGUUAUGAACACCCGCGUACCACAAAAUUGCUUUGCCCCUCUCUUCUUUGCUUCCCACCCCCACUGCCCUUCCUGUCACCCUCUCUGGAGCACAUUUCUCUAGGAAGGUUUCACAGGAGCUUAAAGAGAUGGAAUCAAAGUCUUAAAAACAAACCAAUAGCUGCCAAAGAGAACUUGCAAGUCAACACUGACCCCUCCAUGUGAGUUUCUGUGUUUAAUUGCAAUUCUGCUGACAGCUGGAGAAAUGUGUUUUCAGAUGUUUCCCACUGAAAUUCCUGAUGCAUGUCCUGGUGGGAUCCAAGCAGUCAGGUGUAUUUUCUUCUGGAGUACAAGAUCUGCUGUGGCCUUGGGUGGGGUUAAAAGCACCCCCCCCCCAGUAAGAGAGCCCUCAGCAGUGUGGGAGAAUGCCCCCCCCAACUUGCCCAUCUCCUUCAGUCUCAUUGAUGGGCAGUCAUAGUGAUCCAGUGGUUUGUUUGAUUCUGAUUGGCUGCCAGCUGCCCGACCCCAUUCGAGUUUGCAAGAAUGGUCAGCUCCGCUUGCUCUGGGCUACUCACCACAACUGUCAAGGACUUGAAAGAAAACAAAACCGAGGGGCAGGCAGGGUCUAGGUUUGGGAUAUGUUCUGUUGUCUGUUAUUUUUAAUUCCGAAUUAAUGGCACAGAUCAAGCCCACAGUUAAAGAACACAUCUGCCUGGGGUUUGGGUAGCGAUUCACAAUAUGCUUGUAUUCAUUAUUGCUUUAAUGAUGGCUCAGAAUUCUUUUGACUCUCUCCCAAGUAACAGGUGGUUUUCUGACCAUGAUAAAUGCUAAAUGCUGUAGAGGAUAAGGCAGUUAGGCAUUGUUUUCCUAGCUGUGGUUACACCUAGGCCCCAGGCAGCUUCUGAAUUAGCAGCCUGCAACAGAUUGGAAUUCCUGGGGGACUUCACUUAACCCUUACUUCUCCCGAACCUGUUUUCAAUGCGCCUGUGGGGUAGGUCUCCAUGCUACACCCUGAGGCACAGCAGAUGUACUUUUCGUAUCCUGGGAGGUAGCGGGAUGAUUCAGUGUAGGUCAAAAAGUUAAUAUGUCAAUGUUCUGAAGGGUGACGGGAGUGAGAACUUAGUGUGAUAUUAAAGAUGAUUUGAAUUUACAUUUUUUUUAGAAUAAAAGCAUUCUUUUAUAUAUCUGCAAUAGAUGGUAACAAUUAAAUAAGUCACACAUGAAUCAUAGAAAUUAGAGUGAGGGCAAAGACCUAUUAGAUCAUCUAGCCAAUUCCCCAGCUAACAUGGAAUUAUUCCCCGCAGUAUUUUUGGGAGAGCUUUGUACACUCUCUUUUGUAAGAUGUGAGCCACUGGGGCCUUCAUUAUUUCCUUAGGGACACACUUUCCCUUAUAAAAGGCCACAGUGUUUUCCUCCUUCACCCGAUAUUCAAGUUUUUUUUUUUUUUUAAAGUCCGUGUAUUAUAGGCAGAAUCAUUUGCACAACAAGACUGAUCAGAGGUAGUAAUUAUACCUACGGUUCUCCCAGAAAACCAGCGCACGUACUUGGCCUUCUGGGUACUCCCCUUUCUGGUUUUUAGGCUGGAAUUUGCAUCCUCCUCUGAGGGGGUGGUACUGAGGUAUCAAACAGAAGCCUCCUUGUUUCCAAUAUCACUAUCACAAACUGGUCAGAGGUAACACUGACCCCCUCGACGUGAAACAAGGGAGAGAGCUGUUUUUGAAGCAAUUCUGUUCAGACCGUUCAUGUUUCCAGGGUAAAGAAUACUCAGUCAUCCAGGAAAUGGCAACUGCUCAGAAUGCCUCUCUCUUUGGAACAAACUGGUAUUGCCUUUCCGGGGGUUGUUUGUGUUGGAGAGGCUACCAAUUGUGCACACGCAUGACCCGGGGCUCCAGGGCAGUCGCUCCCGCUCCAGAUUCCCGGUAAUCCUGGGCACAGAGCUGCAGAUCCUAGCGGGGGCCGCGCACAUGCAAAGCUUCCUGCUGAGUUGCCAUGGUGUGUGUCCCAGUACCCUCCAAGGGCAGCUUUCCGUCCAAGAGGUAAGAUUUUGCAUUUGGAGAGUUAUAGACACUAACAGAGAUGAAGCUCAUAGAGUUCCAGAACUCAGGGAUGCUGCGAUUGGAACCCAUUCUCCUCGCCCAUUCCCUGUACUGUUCAGUAGAGGCCGGUCAACAUGCUAGGCACUGAGCUCGGAAAGGGGGAAUACUCAAGCUUCCCACUUGAGGACCGUAGGGAGAGGCGAGGCAGGCUGGUGUGGGGAUAAGGGUGUGAGAGAGAGGUAAGCCCACAGCACAGGGGAGUGGCAUCUGAGAAAGCCAGGUGUUGGAAACUUCCAGGGGAAGCUGAACUUAAAAGGCCAGAUGCCUGGAGGGAGGGGGAUGUGGAAACCAGGCAGAGGUAACAGGCCAGGGCAGAGAGCAGUGUGGAAAAGAAGCAGUGGUGCAGGCCAGUGUGAGCAUGUGGGGGGGGUCAGGGAGGCCGCAGGGGUGGGCCUGCCUGCUGUGCUAACUUCGACAGUGUCUGAAAGGGGCUCGUUGGCCUCCUUUUGCAGAUGACAACAGCAUGGUUCAGAGGAGCCGGGUGCCUUGUCCAAAGCCACAAGCUAGGAUUUGGACCCGCUGGCUUCGUUGUCUCUAGAAGACACGGCAGCCAAAGUACACAUUCAGGGUGGGCACAUUUGUGGUCCCUUGGAGAGAGCAGACGGCCAUGAGCUGCAGGCCCUGCGGAACUCUGGAGGUGGUGAGGACCUUUAGCGAUCCACCUAGAAGGGACAGAGGCAAGGACCUCCGUGCAUCAGUCCACAGGAGAGAAGCAGACCCCUGCAGAGUUCAUCAGCUCUUAGAAUUACUAAGAACGACUCACGUCGAGGCAAAACCAAGUGCCUUCUGCAGAUUGGCCAGGGGUGAGACAGCAGGGCCAGGAGCAGCCACACUGAACCCGUGGCCUUGGCCAAAGCAAAUGCGUAGCUUUGCGGUUAUGGCCUUCUAACAGAUAUCUCUCUCAGCUCUUCUCGUCUCUUGAAGAUCUGCCAGCCUGCAGAUACCGCGUUGUUCUGCCCUCUCCCGAGAGACCAGGCCUGCUGCUGGCUGUGUGCUUGUAAGGCAGAGGGUAUGAGGCCGGGCUUUGGGUUGUCUUCAGGUCUAGACUUGGUCUUCCGUUAGGAAGACCCAUCUGUGGCCUUAACUAAACUGUGGUAUCCUGUUUUGACUUACUAGUAAUAAAGUUGCUGUUUCGAACAACUGUGUCUACUUUGAAUUGAUUCUGAACUCAGAAAUGGAGGCGUUGUGAUUAUCACUGCUAAUAUGUGGACGCUAUAGGAUUUCAUACCAACACUGGAGGCAGAAGUCACGUUGUGCUUUGAACCUGUCAUCUACAACACUGAGGCCUGAGUGCCAUGAAAAUGGGAGUGCUGCCCUAACUUUUGAGAUAAGAAGGGCACGGCCUAUACUUCCCAGUGCAACCCGGCUGGAGCAGCGGCAGAGAGAGUUCAAAUCAUUUCCCCCCAAAUCCGGACUCCAGGACACUCCCCUUGCACACAGAUGAAUGCCCCCAUGAACAAAUCACCUCCCCAGCCUGUCCAGGGUCCCCUCGACGGCUGGCAAAUGGUUUUUAAGAGCAAGUAGAGAGACUUUUGAGAUAGGAAUCAAAAGAGCUGUCUGAAAGAGGUGGUUCCGAACUACUACAGCCAAGAGUCAAACACGGAAUGGGGAGAUCAGGGAAGCGAGCCCCUUCACCAGACCUUAGUCCUGUCCCCCCACUUGAAAGGGAAGUGCACCAGGUUCUUACAACCCAGCCUGUGGGAGGGGAGUCAGUAACGCACUCUACUCGGGCAGCUUGGAACCAUUAGCUGUGAGAUAGUGCGCUGAACCAGACUGACAAGGCCAAGUGAAGACCUUGGGUUAAAGAAAGAGCACAAGAGAAUGGAGAACAUGCUGGACUAAAAGACAGCAGAGAGAGAAAGCACAAGCAAGGGAGCAGCCUAGAAGGAGAAGCAGGUUCCCCGCUGACCAGGAACCCGAUGUAGGACUCAAUCCCAGGACCCUGAGAUCAUGACCUGAGCUGAAGGCAGACGCUUAACCGACUGAGCCACCCAGGCGCCCUGGAGCUGAAGCUGAUUUUAUUGUUAAGAAACAUUAAUGUGAAGGCCACUGCUGUAGGGCCGGCUGGAGUCACACACUGUGUUGUGCUGUGGUCUGCCGUAAAGAAGGUUGAGAGCAGGCGGGAUCUCCUGUGGGGUCUAAUACCUGCUAUUGUUUUGAACUGGUGAUCAAAGUCAAGUGUUCCAAUAUAUGGGCAGUAACUGCAGGGGCAUCAUGGAAAUAGCUGGUGUUCUCUGAGACCGAGCCUCAGGAAUAGCCAAUGCUCUGUGGUUUGCUGCCUACAUCCCCCUGUCGAAGCAGAUACCGAAUGUCAGAUGGUGAACGUUGGGCGCAGGACGCCUGGCUCAGAGAAAGAAGAAGCAGGAGCGCCCGCGUGAGUGGCCGCCAUGUGGAGUCGGGGCUGCAGGGAGGCCAAGGAGGGCCAGGCAGGCGCUUGGCCUGGCUUGCAUGGGAGCUGGGGCCCCCCAGGUGGGCCCCCUGAGAGGCAGCAGCUCACAGGAGCUGCUUGGGGAUAAAGCAGGCACGACAAAUUGGACAGGGUGUCAGGUGGACUAUGAAAUAUGACGGAUUAACAGCCGAGGCUGGUGGUAUGACCUGCCUUCAGACACUUCAUUUAGAAGUUAUCAUAUUGCUGGAUGCUUCCUAUAAUUUGCGAUGAUGCUGAUUGUGAUAAAUCGUGAGUUUCUGGCAAACUCCCCCAGCCCGCUCCAAUGGCUGAGCAGAGAAAAUGUGUGAUUCUAUGGGAACAUUCAUGCCACGAACGAGAGCUGGGAGCUGCCUGUAAACAGAAUGCUCAGGCCGUGAAUAAAGUAAUUAAAUCAAGCU